rnacentral:rRNA from 1 species
GAUCAUGGCUCAGGAUGAACGCUGGCGGCGUGCUUAACACAUGCAAGUCGAACGAAGCACUUUACCACGAUUCCUUCGGGAUGACGGUUUGGUGACUGAGUGGCGGACGGGUGAGUAACGCGUGGGGAACCUGCCCCAUACCGGGGGAUAACAGCCGGAAACGGCUGCUAAUACCGCAUAAGCGCACAGUACCGCAUGGUACGGUGUGAAAAACUCCGGUGGUAUGGGAUGGACCCGCGUCUGAUUAGCCAG